GCGGUUGUAGUCUAGCCUGGUUUAGGACUUCAGCCUGCCACGUUGAUGACCCGGGUUCAAAUCCCGGCAACCGCACCA
rnacentral:tRNA from 1 species